rnacentral:tRNA from 1 species
GGAGGGGUUGCCGAGUGGUUAAAGGCAGCAGACUGUAAAUCUGCCGACGUACGUCUUCGUUGGUUCGAAUCCAACCCCCUCCACCA